AUUGAACGCUGGCGGCAGGCCUAACACAUGCAAGUCGAACGAGUGGCGGACGGGUGAGUAAUGUCUGGGAAACUGCCUGCUGGAGGGUGAUAACUACUGGAAAUGGUAGCUAAUACCGCAUACCAUCGGAUGUGCCCAGACGGGAUUAGCUAGUAGGUGGGGUAAAGGCUCACCUAGGCGACGAUCCCUAGCUGGUCUGAGAGGAUGACCAGCCACACUGGAACUGAGACACGGUCCAGACUCCUACGGGAGGCAGCAGUGGGGAAUAUUGCACAAGGGGCGCAAGCCUGAUCCAGCCAUGCCGGGUGUGUGAAGAAGGUCUUCGGAUUGUAAAGCACUUUAAGUUGGGAUGCGUGACCAACAGAAUAAGCACCGGCUAACUUCGUGCCAGCAGCCGCGGUAAUUC
rnacentral:rRNA from 1 species